rnacentral:ncRNA from 1 species
GGGAGCCGGAUGAAGCGAGAGCUUCACGUCCGGUUCUAAGGAACGAGGAUUCAAUAACUCCAGAGCUUUGAGUUGUAAAUUAAGUUGCCGCGGAUAGAGUAUUUCGGUUAUGUUCUGACAAUGAAGAUAACCACCUAUGCCCC